GAUGAAGAACGUAGCGAAAUGCGAUAAGUAAUGUGAAUUGCAGAAUUCAGUGAAUCAUCGAAUCUUUGAACGCAACUUGCGCUCUCUGGUAUUCCGGAGAGCAUGCCUGUUUGAGUGUCAUGAAAUCUCAACCAUUAGGGUUUCUUAAUGGCUUGGAUUUAGAGGCUGCCAUUCUAAAUGGCUCCUCUUAAAGGAGUUAGCAAGUUUUACUAUUGCUAUCUGGCGUAAUAAGUUUCGCUGGAAUGGUAUUGUGAAGCGUGCUUCUAAUCGUCUUCGGACAAUUACUUUGACUCUGGCCUCAAAUCAGGUAGGACUACCCGCUGAACUUAAGCAUAUCAAUAAGCGGAGGA
rnacentral:misc_RNA from 1 species